AUUGAACGCUGGCGGCAUGCCUUACACAUGCAAGUCGAACGGCAGCACGGGAGCAAUCCUGGUGGCGAGUGGCGAACGGGUGAGUAAAGUAUCGGAACGUGCCCAGUCGUGGGGGAUAACGUAGCGAAAGUUACGCUACUACCGCAUACGAUCUAUGAAUGAAAGAGGGGGAUCGCAAGACCCUGCGCGAUUGGAGCGGCCGAAAUCAGAUUAGGUAAUUGGUGGGGUAAAGGCUGACCAAGCCGACGAUCUGUAGCUGGUCUGAGAGGACGACCAGCCACACUGGGACUGAGACACGGCCCAGACUCCUACGGGAGGCAGCAGUGGGGAAUUUUGGACAAUGGGCGAAAGCCUGAUCCAGCCAUGCCGCGUGCAGGAUGAAGGCCUUCGGGUUGUAAACUGCUUUUGUACGGAACGAAAAGGUUUGGCCUAAUAAGCUGAGCUCAUGACGGUACCGUAAGAAUAAGCACCGGCUAACUACGUGCCAGCAGCCGCCGUAA
rnacentral:rRNA from 1 species